rnacentral:ncRNA from 1 species
GAGAGCCGUAUGAUGGGAAACUAUCACGUACGGUUCGGAGGGCAGGGAAAAUUCCACUGACCCUAC